GGCCGACAGGCGUAGUCGAUGGACAACGGGUUGAUAUUCCCGUACCGGCGCUGGUGCGCCAGUACCGAGCCUCACUGUACUAACCUUCCUGAUGGUGGCCUUCGGGUUGCCGUGACGGUUGGGAUCUUGGUGGGUAGUAGGCAA
rnacentral:rRNA from 1 species